UGGUGUCCUGUGCAGGGACAGCUGGCGGGAGUAUCCUGUGAGUUUUGUGCAGAGGGGAGGAAGACCUGGCAGGAGGUCUCCUGCCAAAGCUAGACAGUAUUGCACGAGGAUUGAAUGAGUAGAUGUCCAUCUGUACCUCUCCAGGAGGGCUGCUCUGCAUGGGAGGGAGAGACCGAGGAAGAGCCUGUGAAGAUGGAGCGGCUGGGAUCCCUCUGUAUAUACUUAUAUUUAGAGAUGUGUAUAGUUAUAGUUAUACCUGGGUAGUUAUAGGUAUAUAGAUAUUUACAUAUGUAGAUUGAAUAUUUGUAUAGGUAUAUUUAUAUAUUUAUCUGGUUAUUUUUAUAAGUGUAUGCAGUUGUAUAGAUGUAUAGUUAUAGUGAUGUAGUUAUAGGUAUAUGGAUAUUUAGAUAGGUGUAUUGAUAUUUGUAUAGAUAUAUUGAUAUAUUUUUUGAUAUAUGUAUAUUAUAUUUAUAUCUGUAUUUAAUUAUAUUUAUGUAUGUAUACAGUUGUAUAGCUGUAUAGGUUUAUUGAUGUAGCUAUAGGUAUGGAUAUUUAGACUGGCAUAUCAAUUUCUGUAUAUUUAUAUAUGGAUUUCCUGUGUAUAUAUUUAUGUGUUAUAUAUAGUAUACCAUAUAUAAGAUAUAUUUAUAAAAAUAUAAAUAUAAUACACAUUUAAUACUUAAUUAUAUUUUUGUCUCUAUUUUUUUAUCUGUUUAUGUAGUUAUAUUUAAAUAUGUAUGGAGUUUUAUAGUUAUAUAAUUUUAUUUAUGUACGUAUAGUUAUAGGGUUAUUUAGAUAGGUAUAUUUAUAUUUGUGAAUUUAUAUAUAUAGGCUGUACAGUUGUAAAAAUCUGUAAUAAAUUAAUUCUUUAAACUUAAAUUGAUAUUUGUAUAGUUUUAUAUCAGUAGCACAGUUGUAGCUAUUUAAUAAAUUUAAUUUUUUAACUAAGUUGAUUUUUGUGUAUUUAUGUAUCAGCAUCACGGGUGUAUCAUUUUGUAAUGUAAUUUUUAAACUUAAAGUGACUUUUGUGUAUUUAUGUCUCAGUCACAGGGGUGUAGCUAUUUGUAAUAAAUUUCAUUUUUUAACUAA